UACAGAGGAGCCAAGCGUUGUCCGGAUUGACUGGGCGUAAAGCGCACGCAGGCGGAUGCGCGCGUGGGGUGUGAAAUCUGGCCGCUUAACGGCCAGGCGCCAUCCCAUACGGCGUGUCUGGAGGGCUGCAGAGGUCGAUGGAAUUGCCGGUGUAGUGGUGAAAUGCGUAGAGAUCGGCAGGAACACCCAGGGGGAAACCAGUGGACUGGCACGGUGCUGACGCUCAGGUGCGAAAGCGUGGGGAGCGAACCGG
rnacentral:rRNA from 1 species